AUACGUAGGUGGCGAGCGUUAUCCGGAAUGAUUGGGCGUAAAGGGUGCGUAGGUGGCAGAACAAGUCUGGAGUAAAAGGUAUGGGCUCAACCCGUACUGGCUCUGGAAACUGUUCAGCUAGAGAACAGAAGAGGACGGCGGAACUCCAUGUGUAGCGGUAAAAUGCGUAGAUAUAUGGAAGAACACCGGUGGCGAAGGCGGCCGUCUGGUCUGUUGCUGACACUGAAGCACGAAAGCGUGGGGAGCAAAUAGGAUUAGAUACCCUAGUAGUCCACGCCGUAAACGAUGAGAACUAGGUGUUGGGGGAAUAACUCAGUGCCGCAGUUAACGCAAUAAGUUCUCCGCCUGGGGAGUAUGCACGCAAGUGUGAAACUCAAAGGAAUUGACGGGGCCCGCACAAGCGGUGGAGUAUGUGGUUUAAUUCGAAGCAACGCGAAGAACCUUACCAGGCCUUGACAUCCCUUGCAGAGGUAUAGAGAUAUAUCCGAGGUUAUCAAGGAGACAGGUGG
rnacentral:rRNA from 1 species